rnacentral:rRNA from 1 species
GCAGCGACGCCGCGUAAGGGAUGACGGCCUUCGGGUUGUAAACCAUUUCAGCAGGGACGAAGCGCAAGUGACGGUACCUGCAGAAGAAGCACCGGCCAACUACGUGCCAGCAGCCGCGGUAAUACGUAGGGUGCGAGCGUUGUCCGGAAUUACUGGGCGUAAAGAGCUCGUAGGCGGUUUGUCGCGUCGUCUGUGAAAUCCCGCAGCUCAACUGCGGGCUUGCAGGCGAUACGGGCAGACUCGAGUACUGCAGGGGAGACUGGAAUUCCUGGUGUAGCGGUGAAAUGCGCAGAUAUCAGGAGGAACACCGGUGGCGAAGGCGGGUCUCUGGGCAGUAACUGACGCUGAGGAGCGAAAGCGUGGGUAGCGAACAGGAUUAGAUACCCUGGUAGUCCACGCCGUAAACGGUGGGCGCUAGGUGUGGGUUUCCUUCCACGGGAUCCGUGCCGUAGCCAACGCAUUAAGCGCCCCGCCUGGGGAGUACGGCCGCAAGGCUAAAACUCAAAGGAAUUGACGGGG